rnacentral:rRNA from 1 species
UACGGGGGGGGCAAGCGUUGUUCGGAAUUACUGGGCGUAAAGGGCUCGUAGGCGGCCAACUAAGUCAGACGUGAAAUCCCUCGGCUUAACCGGGGAACUGCGUCUGAUACUGGAUGGCUUGAGUUCGGGAGAGGGAUGCGGAAUUCCAGGUGUAGCGGUGGAAUGCGUAGAUAUCUGGAGGAACACCGGUGGCGAAGGCGGCAUCCUGGACCGACACUGACACUGAGGAGCGAAAGCCAGGGGAGCAAACGGG